ACCUGGGGAAAGAGAGAGAAUCUCAGAGAGCUGAUCUUUGUUGUCAUCUCCAGCCUGACCUUCCUUCUCUAAGUCCUGCCAGGUCCCUACUCAGCUCCACAUACAGUUAUAAAAAAUGCCCAUCAGAAGCUGCCAGGCAAAGGGCAUGAGCGGGGCUGAAACGGAAGUUACACUCACCUGGGCCCCCUAAGCCUUGUGCCCUAGUUGUGUGUACUUUCCUGGCACAAGGCCUAGUAAGGUGCCACCUUGCCUGCUGCUGUAUAUCCUUCCUUCUUGCAGGGUCUGUGGGACCAAAGAGGGAAAAGGAUUUCCCUGCUUCCCACCCACACUCCAGCUCAGUGCUUUGCCUUCACUUCCUCCACUUUUCUGCCUGGAUAGAAGGCAGGAGAGACCCUCACAUCUAUCUGCAGCACUCCCUGCUGCCCCACAACCUGCUCACCUGGGCCAGCCCAGGGCUAGUCCAGAUUCCCAUUCUGGUUGUGUUCAUCUUCCGCAGGGGCGGGUGGGGCCUCUUCUUCACAGGGGGACAGCUCAUCAAUCGACAUCUGGUUGGUGAUGCCUGGGGAGGGGUACAAGGGAAACUGACGUCAGACCAUGGAGUGUUUUCCCCAGGACCACAGAGUAUGUAAAGAGCAGUAGGAGAUUCUUGUCUAUUGCCCUUCCUCUGAGCUGAGCUCCAUUCCACCCACCCCCACUAGAAGAGCCUCUCUGACCCUGCAGGAACUCACAAGCCCUACCCGAGGGAAGAGUCAGAACCACCAAGUUACCCAAAUUUACAAGGGCACCAUGUACCCAGCCCAUUGUAUCCCACAAUGGGUGUAGGAUAACCUGUGCCUGUCCCGUGCUCUCUCCGCCCCCGCUCUGGAACAGUCCAGACCGUUAGGUUAGUCAGGCUUUCCUGUGACCUAACUUUAGUCUAACUGGCUCUAUUCCCAACUCUAGGGGUCAAAGACCUGCACCGGGGCUUAAGAAAAAAGGAACCCACUACUGUUCUAGUAGCCACCCCCUCAAGGUCCACAGCCCCCCCAAUGGCACCCACCACUCGCAGCCCGUUCCUUCCAUUUCUGUUUGUUCUCCUGAAUGUACUUGGUCCAGGUGGAGCGGAAGCUGACCACAUCAGGGUUGGGGUCUCCCACAUCCACAUCUAGAGAAGGCUGGCGCCACUGGAAGCUAGAAACAGGACCCACCCCCCAUUCCAGAGGUGAGACCAGUCCACUCCAGAACAAGCUUCAUAGCCCUCUAAGAAGAGACCACGGGAAACCAGAAGAUUUAGGAAACCAAGUCCUCCUCUUUUCCAGCUACUAGGUAACCCCCAAGUCCCUGUCCCUCUCCUCCCUGUUCCACCCUCCCUCACCACACCUUCUCUCCUGGUAGAAGGAAAAUAAAAACAAGUAUAUCUGAAAGGCAAUAAGACAACUAAAAUGGCCAGGUGUGGUGACGUGCCUUUAAUCCACACCCUGGGAGGCUGAAGUAGGAGGACUGCUAACUCGAGCUCAGCCUAAGCAACUCAGUGAAAUUUUAAAAUAAAAAAUUUUUAAAUAAAAAAGUUUGAAAAGCUAGGGAUGUAGCUCAGUGUGAAGGUGGUGGGUUCAAUCAGCAGUACAAGAAAGGAAAGAAGGAAAAAAAAUGGAAAGAAAGAAUGUGUAUUGUGUUAUAAUGGGAAAAGAGGAGGUUUUUGGAUUGUUUCUGUAGUGUUGGCGAUUGACCCCAGAGCCUUGCACGUGCUAGGCAAAGACUCUACCUGUGAGGUACACCCCCAGCCCAGAGUUGUUUUUCAGGGGUUGGUCAUGUGUGAGCACACGCAUGUGUACAUCUGUGUGUGUCCAUGUGUGUGUUGGUUGUGUUUUGUAGAACUGGGGACUGUGCCCAGGGGAAUUUUACCACUAAGCUACAUCCCCAUCCCUUUUUAUUUUUUUAUUUUGAGACAGUGUCUCACUAAGUUGAACUGGAAUUUAUGACCCUCCUGCCUCGGUGCUGAGAUUACAGGUGUGUGCCACCAUGCCUGUAAAAUGUGGUGGGGAGCAGUCAUGCCCUUCUGGUCCCAUCCUUCCACUCUGACUGUGACAAACAGCAAAGGGGCUCCCAAGUUUGGAGCAGCCUGCUGCCCAACACCCCUGCCACAGCUGUACCUUUUCCCCAGGACUGUCCUCUCUGAGUCCAACAUUCCUCCCCAGAACCAGGAGACCUGGCUACUCUGCCACCUCACCUGGGCUGGUUUUUGGUCUUGGAGUCCUCAUCUGCCAGGGGCUGGACACUCUUCUCUGCCACAUCAGUCAGCACAGAGAAUGUGGGCUCCACAAUGAAGUCAAUGAAACCUGCAGAGGAGAUGUCUUACAUGGAACAGGGACCAGACGAGGAGAGACCUGGCCCAGCCACGACCCCUGGCUGCAGCAAAGGACACUCACCAAUCUGGGACUGGGCCACCAGAGUGGAAGUGCGAUCGCAGAGCGGAGAAAAGGGCAGGCCAAGCUCUGCCUCCUUGUCACCCUGGAGAGAGAGGACACCUCAGACCCACCAAUCAAUGGGUUGCUGUGGAAGGAGAGGAGUCUCUGCACCUUUGACCAGGAGAUGAGUGAUACGUAAUUGGAUGCAGCUAUGGACAAGCACAGAUCUCACUAAGCUGCUGAGUUGCCCAGGCCAGGCUCGAACCUGUGAUCUUAUUAUCCUACAGUGGGCCUGGAGUCAGGUCAGAAGCAAAAGGUAGCUGAAUGAAGAUAUGGAGUAGGAACAGAGGGGAACCUGCAGCGAAAAAGGGGCAAGAAGGCCCCCAUGGGCAGGGGGUGGGCAAAAAUGCACGCUACCUGGCGGAAGAAUUCCUCCAUGAGGGCCUUUGUCCAGCGGCUGUGGACCGACCAUUGCUUUGUUGGAUGGCUGAUGUCAGCAGCAUGGAGGAGAAGUGACAGGGCCUUGGACUUGUCGAUCCUGGUUGGGGCAGGUGGCAAGGAAAGGGAAACUGAUCUUUUAGGAGGAAACCUGAGCCAUCUUCUAACCUUCCAUCACACGCCCUCUCUCAGACCCAUACAUCCAUUAACUUCAUCUUUUCACAUAACUUCAAACACCCUCCCAGGACACACACACACACACACACACACACACACACACACACACGUAGGUAGCAUAGGUAGCAGCACCCUGGCUCUGAGAAUCAAAGGGCACAGGUUUGAAUCCCCCCACACCUACCAUACACUAACUGUGUGACACUGAACAAGUCACUUAAAAUUUCCACAUUUCAUUUUCUUAAGCCCCAAAAUAGAAAUAACAACUCUAACACAUAUUGAAUUAUUCUGAAAUUAAAUGAUAUAUAACAAAAUAAAUAUUUAGAAGAGUAGCACAUAAUAAGGGCUUAGUAGAUUAUAGUGGCAAUACUGAUUAUACUGAUUAUAAUAAUAAUCAUUAUUAUUGUUAUACCCCCAACAAUGCCCUGCCAUGGCACUGCACAGACACAGUACAAAAAGAUUGUUCAGGUUACACACAAACAUAGUCCGUCCUCCCUUAUACACAUUUAUAUAGCCCCACCUACUUCUACAAAGCCUUAGAUGCAAUUAUGGCAUUUGUUCUGUCCUUUUUUAACCUCAUGUGACUCUCCAAUAACCCUAUUAGAGUAGGAACUACUGGCAAGCAGUUGUGGAAGGAGGCAUAUCAUUUUCACUAUUUCACAAAUAAGGACACUGAAGUCCAGAAGAGCUGAAUGAAUUUCCCAAUAUUCCAGAGUAAGCUUGUCCUAAAGUUGCACUGAGUGACCCCAUCUCAGACUCUGAGCCCACGGGGCUCCCCAACUGAUGAGCUGCCCAGACUGUACAUAAACCCAAGGCCACGUUCACACACACCACACCACUUCCACAGGGAUACACUCACACAGAUGCCCGGAGCCAGCAGUCUCCACACCCACGGAAAGAUCUGGCAACCAGCUACGCAGUACGCACCCAAUUCACACACCCCUCCCUCUGGCCUGGCCCCAGCAACACCCUGCCAACACCCCAGCACCUCUCUAGCUGCUGCAAGGCUGUCUUCAUGGACUUCACUUGCUGGAAAUGGCAGGACAUGUCUGUGGCCAACACCAUCUCGAUGACCAAUGCUCGCAGCUCUCUGAAAGGAUGGAAAGAGAGAAGCGAUCGGUGCUCUCAGCACUGCUGGACAGGGCGUGCAGGAGGUGAGAGAGAGGGCUAUGAUAAGGGGUCUCUCGGGGAUGCCAAGAGCUGGCUCCUGCUCACACAAACUCAUCUUUAGUGAGGUUGAUGAAAAUGUUCAUCUCGUCGUCCUGCAUCAUCCGGAACACAGAGCUGAUGUGGUGAUUUUCCAGCACGGAACGGUCAUUGUAUAGGAUGGCACAUUCUGACCUGCGGUGUCAAAGGUCAUCAGGUCCAGCCCCCUGAAAGGGGUGCUCUGACAACCUCCCCCACCUCCGGCUGGUCCCUCCUGCCCCUGCCAUGUCCCCACCGCUCACUUGGUCUGGAUGUGGAAGCUGUUGGUCGUGCCUGUGUGCUCAUAGUCAUGGAUGGCUGCGGCAAAGAUGAUGGCCAAGACCUCAAUCUCUGACAGGCAGUGCUAGGGGAGAGAGACAGGAUGAGAGAAGGCGGAUGCCCUGCCAGUCACUGCCUGAAGACUCCCCAUACAGGCUCAACCACUUACCCCCUCUUUCAUUCUUCAAGGCCAACUCUGGGGUGAUCUCAGCUCCUGGAAUGUCGAGAGCCCAUUCUCCACCCCAACCUACACCAAACCCACUGCAUCCCAGGACAUGUCCCCAGCACUACUCCUGAAUUUUAGCCACACCUGGGAUCUCUCUAGAGUGAGUAAAUCCAAUUUGACUCUAAAGGUUUUGAGAUGCCAAAGAAGAAGAACCAGAAUGAGGAAAAUGGAACUGGAAAGCCAGGCAUGAUAGUGUACACCUGUAAUCCCAGCACUCUAGUGGGCUAAAGCAGGAAGAUCUCAAGUUCGAGUCCAGUCUGGACAACUUAGUGACUUAGCAAGAUCCUGUCUCAAAUAUUAAAAAGGGCUGCUGAUGUAGCUUGGUGCAAAGGCCCUACGUUCAAUCCCCAGUACAGAAGGAAAAGGGAGGAAAGGGGAGGGGGAAUUUUUUUUUAAAUGGAACUGGGACUAUAGCCUAGACGUCCCAGUUCCAAAGCUGUGAACACUGAAUCACAGAACAGUAGCCCAGGGGGGACCUACCACCAUCCCUGUGCGGAGCAGGAAGCAAUGGACUGUCUGAGUAACAUCAGCUGCAUGGAUCUGGUUGUGGUAAGGAUUCUUGUACUUCCCAUAGCCUGUCUCCAAGGCUUCCAGGAAAGACAUCAAAAAAACAGUGGGAAUCUGCAGUGGGCAGAAGGAAAUCAAGCUAUAUGGAGCAUCUGCCAGAGUGGAAAGAACAGGGCUGAGAUCAGGGCUGAGAUCAGCGAUCCCAUUGUCCUGUAGGAGGCAGCAUGGCACAGGCAAAGCAUGGGCUCUGCACAGGUGGAUCUGGGCUCACAUCCUAGCUCUGCCAGCUGCUGGCUAUGUGGCCUUGAGCAAGUCACAUGCCUUCCUGCACCUCAGAUACUUAAUUGUAGAAUGAAGAUAAUAAUACCUACGUGGAAUUUAAUGAGAUAAGAACAAGGCACUUAGCAAGUACUCUCCAAAGAGUAGCUAUAAUUAUUAUUUCCCUGGAGACUGUUAAGGAAAGGAAGGAAAGCUUCCUUCCUACAUUCCAACCAACCCAUCCCAUCCCCAAAUCCAAAACCAUAGAGAAGGGCAGAGGGCUUGGAAGUGGGGGGAAAGAAUAAGAUGACCUAGAGUGUGGCCCCUUUUGGCAGAAGUGGAUCACCCACUCCUCUGAGAAGCCUUCCCUGACCACCUCUCCUCCACAUACACUGAUACGUGUGCUACCACACACACACACAGGAGCCAGAAUUCUAUCCAGCCUCUCUCAAUUCUGCCUUGUCUGUACAUGUACUUGGGCAUCUCUGCCUCCUUCAAAAGGCUCCAGGCUCCCAGAGGUCAGGGCUGGUGUCACCUGUCCUUGGACUUCCUGAGACUGGAAAGAGACUGAGGUUCAAGACUUGGGGAAGCUUCUGUAGGGAUGAGCUACAGAGUAACAGAGACAUAGAAGACGUGCCACUAAUCAGACCCUAACAUCCCCCAUCCCUACCCCUGGAGGGCUGUGCCCCAAAUUCAGGGAUUUUAAAGGACUGUUUCCAUGACAACUGCCCUUGCUUUUUCGUUGCCAUGGCAUCCCUGGAGGGAAGGGAAGGGAAAGGGAGGAGCAGGGAGGGGCUGGGUACCCAGGAAGAGAAUGUGGAGCUAGAGAAGGGUGAGUCCAGCUGGGAAACUAUAAGCAACCCCCUCUCUCUGACUGCUAGGAGCCAGCCCAGGGCAGCUACUCUCAUACCUGCCAAACCCAAGCCUUCCAGGUAAGAAGGUGGAGUUUGGGAGAAGCUGGCAUUUGAAGUACUCCUGAGAACCAGUGUGGGACCCCAGUGUGGGAAGAGGACCCUACUAGUCUCUGUCCUGGAGGACAGUACUGGGAGGAAGAUAACAAAACAGCAGAAGGACCGGCCUGAGAAAGUCAGUGAAGAAAACCUCAGCUCAGCACCUUUGGAAAGUUUUGGAAACUCUCUCCAGAAUUGGUGGAAAAGGAGGUAGUCAAAUAUCGUGGAAAGACUCGCGUGGAUGAGUAGUCUGUCACAGUGGAAUGAGGCAGAGGUGGCUGGAACAACUUUCCAGAGCCCAGCUGGGAGAGAGUCUUUCACCUGACUGCCUCUCUCUUGUGGCCACUAAAAACACGAGUUUCACUCACCUCUAAUGUCCACUGCCCUGCCCAAGUGCCAACCAAGCAACCCACUGAACUCUUAAACCCCUUCCCCUGCACUUCUAAAUGCAGUUUUUCCACGUGGAA